UUACGGGAAACAAGUUCGGCCAUUUCUCUUUUGGAACGUGGCGUGGUCGGUACUGCAACAGCAGUGGGUAACGACUGCGCAAAAUGGUGAACGGAAGGAUCCCAUCAGUUUUCUCGAAAACUUACGUUACUCCUAGAAGACCUUAUGAAAAGGCUCGUUUAGAUCAAGAAUUACGAAUUAUCGGUGAAUAUGGUCUUCGUAACAAGCGUGAAGUAUGGAGAGUAAAAUACACAUUGGCAAAUAUCCGUAAAGCCGCUCGUGAGCUUCUUACUUUGGAAGAAAAAGAUCCCAAACGUUUGUUCGAAGGAAAUGCUCUCUUGCGUCGUUUGGUGAGAAUCGGUGUAUUAGACGAGAGUCGUAUGAAACUCGAUUAUGUCCUUGGUUUGAAAAUUGAAGAUUUCUUGGAAAGACGACUUCAGACUCAAGUAUUCAAAUUGGGACUUGCCAAAUCUAUUCAUCAUGCUCGAGUAUUGAUUCGUCAACGCCAUAUACGAUUGUCUACUCAAAAUCAUAAAAGCAAUGCGACUUAAAAUGUUGGAUGAAGAGCUAUGAUGCUUAAGAAUCUACAAUACUUAAUUUGAAAGCUGUUUUCUUUCAGGCAGGCCACUUAAGUGUCCUAAUAUUGGCACUUAACGUCUGUUCGUAUAUUAAUGGAUACUUUAUGUAUAAAAACUAAUUGGGUUCGCAAGCAAGUUGUGAACAUUCCAUCUUUCAUCGUGCGUUUGGACUCGCAAAAGCACAUUGAUUUCUCACUGAAAUCUCCGUUCGGCGGUGGCAGACCUGGCCGUGUAAAGAGGAAGAAUUU